GCCAGUGAAGGAAUCUUCUGCGGACCGCGCUUCAAUCUUCCUCUGGAUGGGAGCCAGUUCCAUCUCCUGUAAUGCAUCAUGGUCAAACUUGGAAUUCGCCUCUUGCACCUUCACAUGAAGAACAGAGGAGAAGAGAGGUUCAACUCCGGACAGCGGGUUUUGCCAGAGAAAGACCUGUAUUGUUACAGACAUACUUUCUGACCAGUAUUUUGAAAUAAAUGAGCAAAAAUAACCGAAACUGGUUUGAUUAUAUUGUGUUAUUUUGACAAAUAAAAUAUGCAGAAUUUGAAAA